rnacentral:rRNA from 1 species
GAUGAACGCUAGCGGCAGGCCUAACACAUGCAAGUCGGACGGUAGCACAGAGGAGCUUGCUCCUCGGGUGACGAGUGGCGGACGGGUGAGUAAUGUCUGGGGAUCUGCCCGAUAGAGGGGGAUAACCACUGGAAACGGUGGCUAAUACCGCAUAACGUCGCAAGACCAAAGAGGGGGACCUUCGGGCCUCUCACUAUCGGAUGAACCCAGAUGGGAUUAGCCAGUAGGCGGGGUAACGGCCCACCUAGGCGACGAUCCCUAGCUGGUCUGAGAGGAGGACCAGCCACACUGGAACUGAGACACGGUCCAGACUCCUACGGGAGGCAGCAGUGGGGAAUAUUGCACAAUGGGCGCAAGCCUGAUGCAGCCAUGCCGCGUGUAUGAAGAAGGCCUUCGGGUUGUAAAGUACUUUCAGCGGGGAGGAAGGCGAUGUGGUUAAUAACCGCAUUGAUUGACGUUACCCGCAGAAGAAGCACCGGCUAACUCCGUGCCAGCCGCCGCCGUAA